UUCAGACUCCAAAGGAGAAGAAGAGGAGGAAGAACCAGAAAAGGAAGGCAAGUAACAGACAUAAUCAUUGAGAUAAGAGGGAGGAUUAUGUGGUCUGCCAGAUCUUCUGUGUCCAGUAGAGACAACAGAGGAAGGAACACCUGAGGAAGAAGGAGUGAAAGGAGGAGGAUUAACAACAGAAAGAGGAACAAAAGGAGAGGAAAGGGAGGAAGGAAGUGAUGAAGAAGCAGGACUGGGGGCAGAAUAGGAAGAAACAGGAGGAGAAGAACAAAGGGAAGCAGGCAAAACAAAAUCAGCACAGGGAAUAUCAGAGGAAGGAGUAGGAGGAGGAGGGAAAACAGAAGCAGCAUGAGGAACAACAGAAGCAGAGUC
rnacentral:lncRNA from 1 species